rnacentral:rRNA from 1 species
CCUACGGGUGGCAGCAGUGGGGAAUAUUGCACAAUGGGGGGAACCCUGAUGCAGCGACGCCGCGUGAGUGAAGAAGUAUUUCGGUAUGUAAAGCUCUAUCAGCAGGAACGAGACAAGACGGUACCUGACUAAGAAGCCCCGGCUAACUACGUGCCAGCAGCCGCGGUAAUACGUAGGGGGCAAGCGUUAUCCGGAAUCACUGGGUGGAAAGGGAGCGUAGACGGCUGAGCAAGCCUGAAGUGAAAGGCGGGGGCACAACCCCCGGACUGCUUUGGGAACUGUACGGCUGGAGUGCAGGAGAGGUAAGUGGAAUUCCUAGUGUAGCGGUGAAAUGCGUAGAUAUUAGGAGGAACACCAGUGGCGAAGGCGGCUUACUGGACUGUAACUGACGUUGAGGCUCGAAAGCGUGGGGAGCAAACAGGAUUAGAUACCCCUAGUAGUC